GUCCACGCCGUAAACGAUGAGUGCUAGGUGUAGAGGGUAUCGACCCCUUCUGUGCCGCAGUUAACACAAUAAGCACUCCGCCUGGGGAGUACGGCCGCAAGGUUGAAACUCAAAGGAAUUGACGGGGGCCCGCACAAGCGGUGGAGCAUGUGGUUUAAUUCGACGCAACGCGAAGAACCUUACCAGGGCUUGACAUCUACAGAAGUUCUAGGAAACUAGGGCGUGCCCUUCGGGGAGCUGUAAGACAGGUGGUGCAUGGUUGUCGU
rnacentral:rRNA from 1 species